UACGGGGGGGGCAAGCGUUGUUCGGAAUUACUGGGCGUAAAGGGCGCGUAGGCGGCAAUUCAAGUCAUCUGUGAAAUCUCCGGGCUUAACCCGGAACGGUCAGAUGAUACUGCUUUGCUAGAGUGCGGAAGGGGCAAUCGGAAUUCUUGGUGUAGCGGUGAAAUGCGUAGAUAUCAAGAGGAACACCUGAGGUGAAGACGGGUUGCUGGGCCGACACUGACGCUGACAGCGCGAAAGCCAGGGGAGCAAACGGG
rnacentral:rRNA from 1 species